AACGAACGCUGGCGGCAUGCCUAACACAUGCUAGUCGAACGAGACCUUCGGGUCUAUUGGCGCACGUGUGCGUAACGCGUGGGAACCUGCCCUUAGGUUCGGAAUAACUCCCCGAAAGGGGUGCUAAUACCGGAUAAGGUCUUCGGACCAAAGAUUUAUCGCCUUUGGAUGGGCCCGCGUUGGAUUAGCUAGUUGGUAGGGUAAAAGCCUACCAAGGCGACGAUCCAUAGCUGGUCUGAGAGGAUGAUCAGCCACACUGGGACUGAGACACGGCCCAGACUCCUACGGGAGGCAGCAGUGGGGAAUAUUGGACAAUGGGCGAAAGCCUGAUACAGCAAGGCCGAGUGAGUGAUGAAGGCCUUAGGGUUGUAAAGCUCUUUUACCCGGGAUGAUAAUGACAGUACCGGGAGAAUAAGCUCCGGCUAACUCCGU
rnacentral:rRNA from 1 species